UGGGAGCUGCUGUUAAUUAAUCAACAGAAUAAAAACGUGACAAGCAAAACUAGAAAAGAAAUCCAAAAAUAUGGCUUGUCAAACCAAUCGUAAACAAGCUUUUUACCUGCACACAUUCAGAGCCAGCCGAUUUUUUAUUGUCAAUCUUUCAAGUCUCUGUGUUGUUUAGCCCGUUUUUCGAAAAAUGUAACCCUUCUCCAUCACCUGACGGGUUUCCAUUAAAGUGCAGAUCUGAAUCAGUAUCAGACACACAGGUGUACAUAAUAAUAGCACAGCACAUCAUCAUUACAGCCAAAAAAGUGGAUUCAGUAUUAUUUUACAAAAACAUUAGUGACCCCUCCUGGAGAAAUGUACCACACCUGAUUUCACAAACCUCGUCAUAA